rnacentral:rRNA from 1 species
GAUGAACGCUGGCGGCGUGCUUAACACAUGCAAGUCGAACGGUAAGGCCCUUCGGGGUACACGAGUGGCGAACGGGUGAGUAACACGUGGGUGAUCUGCCCUGCACUUCGGGAUAAGCCUGGGAAACUGGGUCUAAUACCGGAUAGGACUCCGGACUGCAUGGUCUGGGGUGGAAAGCUUUUGCGGUGUGGGAUGGGCCCGCGGCCUAUCAGCUUGUUGGUGGGGUGAUGGCCUACCAAGGCGACGACGGGUAGCCGGCCUGAGAGGGUGACCGGCCACACUGGGACUGAGACACGGCCCAGACUCCUACGGGAGGCAGCAGUGGGGAAUAUUGCACAAUGGGCGCAAGCCUGAUGCAGCAACGCCGCGUGAGGGAUGACGGCCUUCGUGUUGUAAACCUCUUUUAGUAGGGAAGAAGCGAAAGUGACGGUACCUGCAGAAAAAGCACCGGCUAACUACGUGCCAGCCGCCGCAGUAA